UACGUCGGGUGCAAGCGUUAAUCGGAAUUACUGGGCGUAAAGCGUGCGCAGGCGGUUAUGUAAGACAGGUGUGAAAUCCCCGGGCUUAACCUGGGAACUGCAUUUGUGACUGCAUAGCUAGAGUACGGUAGAGGGGGAUGGAAUUCCGCGUGUAGCAGUGAAAUGCGUAGAUAUGCGGAGGAACACCGAUGGCGAAGGCAAUCCCCUGGGCCUGCACUGACGCUCAUGCACGAAAGCGUGGGGAGCAAACAGG
rnacentral:rRNA from 1 species